rnacentral:rRNA from 1 species
CUGACGAGCACGCCGCGUGAGUGAUGACGGCCUUCGGGUUGUAAAGCUCUGUUAAUCGGGACGAAAGGCCUUCUUGCGAAUAGUUAGAAGGAUUGACGGUACCGGAAUAGAAAGCCACGGCUAACUACGUGCCAGCAGCCGCGGUAAUACGUAGGUGGCAAGCGUUGUCCGGAAUUAUUGGGCGUAAAGCGCGCGCAGGCGGAUUGGUCAGUCUGUCUUAAAAGUUCGGGGCUUAACCCCGUGAUGGGAUGGAAACUGCCAAUCUAGAGUAUCGGAGAGGAAAGUGGAAUUCCUAGUGUAGCGGUGAAAUGCGUAGAUAUUAGGAAGAACACCAGUGGCGAAGGCGACUUUCUGGACGAAAACUGACGCUGAGGCGCGAAAGCCAGGGGAGCGAACG